rnacentral:rRNA from 1 species
CGUACCUUUUGCAUCAUGAUUUAGCCAGCACCCUCAAGCAAAGAGCACUUUAGUUUGACCACCCGAAUUUAGGUGAGCUACUCCAAGACAGCCUAUCCAUAAGGGCAAACCCGUCUCUGUGGCAAAAGAGUGGGACGAGCUUCGAGUAGAGGUGACAGACCUACCGAACCUAAUUAUAGCUGGUUGCCUGGGAACUGGAUAGAAGUUCAGCCCUACGGCUUCUCCUUCCCAACCCGUUCCAACACACCCCUGGCACUUUAGAGAAACCGUACGAGUUAGCCAAAGGAGGUACAGCCCCUUUGAACCAAGAAACAACUUUACCAGGAGGGUAUCAAUCAUAUUAUUUAAGGCAAAAUGCCAAGGUGGGCCUAAAAGCAGCCAUCCUUAUAGAAAGCGUUACAGCUCAAGCAUUUCCCACGCCCAUUAUACCGAUAACCCAAUUCCAACCCCCUAACCUUACCAGGCCAUCCUAUGCACACAUAGGAGUGACCAUGCUAAUAUGAGUAAUAAGAGGACACGCCCCUCUCCCUGCACACGUGUA